CCCUGGUUAGUUCAGUUGGUAUAUUGCUCCACUGGAAAUGAAGAGGUCCGUGGUUCAAUACCAGGACCAGGCG
rnacentral:tRNA from 1 species